CAAGGUAACUAGCCUACCCGGCUAGAACCUCCAACCACUGUGUACCGAACUUCUGUUGCCUCGGCGGGCUGGGUGCCCACCAGCGCCCCCCCCAGGGGAGUCGCCCGCCGAAGGACCUUUAAAACUUCUUUGUUGAUGAACGUCUGAUUCAAUCUUAAAAGAAAUA
rnacentral:misc_RNA from 1 species